AAAAAGAAACUAACAAGGAUUCCCCUAGUAACUGCGAGUGAAGCGGGAAAAGCUCAAAUUUAAAAUCUGGCGGUCUUUGUGGCUGUCCGAGUUGUAAUCUAGAGAAGUGUUAUCCGCGCUGGACCGUGUACAAGUCCUCUGGAAUGGGGCAUCAUAGAGGGUGAGAAUCCCGUCUUUGACACGGACUGCCAGGGCUUUUGUGAUGCGCUCUCAAAGAGUCGAGUUGUUUGGGAAUGCAGCUCAAAAUGGGUGGUAAAUUCCAUCUAAAGCUAAAUAUUGGCGAGAGACCGAUAGCGAACAAGUACCGUGAGGGAAAGAUGAAAAGAACUUUGGAAAGAGAGUUAAACAGUACGUGAAAUUGUUGAAAGGGAAACGCUUGAAGUCAGUCGCAUCAGCUAGGGAUCAACCUUGCUUUUUUGCUGGGUGUACUUUCUGGUUGAUGGGUCAGCAUCAAUUUCAACUGUUGGAUAAAAGUUAGGGGAAUGUGGCAUCUUUGGAUGUGUUAUAGCCCUUGAUUGCAUACAACGGUGGGAUUGAGGAACUCAGCACGCCGCAAGGCUGGGUAUUUAUACCACAUACGUGCUUAGGAUGUUGGCAUAAUGGCUUUAAUCGACCCGUCUUGAGACACGUACCAAGGAGUCUAACAUGCUUGCGAGUAUUUGGGUGGUACACCCAGAUGCAUAAUGAAAGUGAUAGUUGAGAUCCCUGUCAUGGGGAGCAUCGACGCCCUGGUACUUGAAGUUUAUCUGAUGGUUCCGCGGUAGAGCAUGUAUGUUGGGACCCGUAAGAUGGUGAACUAUGCCUGAAUAGGGUGAAGCCAGAGGAAACUCUGGUGGAGGCUCGUAGCGAUUCAUGACGUGCAAAUCGAUCGUCGAAUGUUGGGUAUAGGGGCGAAAGACUAAUCGAACCAUACUAGUAGCUGGUUCCUGCCGAAGUUUCCCUCAGAGAUAGCAGAAGACUCAUGUCAGAUUUAUGUGGUAAAGCAGAUAUGAUUAGAGGCCUUGGGGUUGAAACAACCUUAACACCUAUUCUCAAACUUUAACAUCAAUGUAAGAACGAGCUGUACUCCUUGAUUGGAUCUGCUCGGUGAGUUGAGA
rnacentral:rRNA from 1 species